rnacentral:rRNA from 1 species
CGUGGAUAACCUGCCGUGCACAGGGGGAUAACACUUAGAAAUAGGUGCUAAUACCGCAUAAGCGCACAGUUUCGCAUGAGACAGUGUGAAAAGCCUGGAAGCGAUUAACCGGGCGGUGCAUGAUGGAUCCGCGUCCGAUUAGCUAGUUGGCGGGGUAAAGGCCCACCAAGGCAGCGAUCGGUAGCCGGCCUGAGAGGGUGGACGGCCACAUUGGGACUGAGACACGGCCCAAACUCCUACGGGAGGCAGCAG